GCAGAGGUUGCAUUGGGGUGUUGGUGUUCAGGAGCCCGAGCCAGUCGGGGCUCACCAUGGUGGCAGCAGGCUUUAUGACUUGGUCUUUUCCUCUUUCCUUUUCCUCUCAGGUCAUGGCCACCCCGCUGCUGGCUAACUGCAGCUACUUCUGCCAGCCAGUGGACUACAGAUGGAGCAAGCAUGGAAUGAGGGCAUCUUCCUGGAGACAGGAAGGUAGGCAUUGUGGAAUCAGCGGUGCGUAGAACAGUGAGGAUUUGGGGCUGAACCCAGCCCAGGUGGGACAAGCCGUGGCACCAGCCGGACUGCAGUCUGAUGGAACUUCCCCUUCCUGCCCAGCAGAUGGCGAGCGUGUGCUGCUGGUGCCUCUUUCCAAAGGACGUUGAAUUGCUUGACAGGUGUUCUUUACUUUAUGAAUGAAGCCGGAGCAGCCCACCUUCCUGCAUCUCUACCACCAUGGCACCAUGCCCUGUGAUGGGUGGGCUGGAGUCAAAUACGUAGCAGGCAGCCAGGGUCAGUUUGUGGCCACUGCUGCCCCCUCUUCCUACAGUCUCCUCACUGAGUGCCCCUUCCCUGUUGGGUUCAACACAUCUGUGCUCCUGUAAGCCCUCAGCCUCCUGGUUCUCUUCCUCAACUUCUACCACCAGACACAUCUGAGAAGCAAGCAAGAGAGGCUGAACUAGGAGCAGGACCCAGGGACUGAAACCAUCACAGCAUCCCCACAGAGAAUUGGGUGGAAGGCAGCGUGGCUUCCAGCUUACUGGUGCUGAGCAGAUUUCUCUGGGUCUCCACUGUAUCCUCUGAAGGAAGGAGGAGGAUUGCCUUCUGUCCAGAUCUCAGGAUCAAACAAAUAGGUCCAACUUCCUGUGCUCACUUCAGUUAGAGCACUUCUCAUGUGACUUUGUAGCUUUGUGUGCAUCUCCUUCCUCUACUAGACCUAAGCCCCUCACGGGAGGGACUCUCUUAUUCUUGAUGUUCCCCACACCUGGAAUUUCAAUAAACAUCUCAAUAAACGUGUGUGUUUGGAUCCUUGGAUCCCAUGACUGCUGUCAUAACCUUGGUGAAGAAGAGGGCUGGGAGUAGGAAAGAGGUCAAGGUUGGCUUGAUCUCUAACCCUAUAGUGGGAAAUUGUGACGGAGAAUAUUCAAGAGUCGGUGUGGGUCUGUUUGAUUUCAGGUGUAGCUGUGUAAAUAGUUAGCCCUGCAUAUAUUUUUGUCUACUCACAACUGCCUGCAUGUGUAUUCAUACAGUUGUGUGAUUCUGUGUAUGUGCAUGGGGAGUGGGAGAGGGCCAUGUGCACAUGUCUGAAUACUUGUUUUCA
rnacentral:lncRNA from 1 species